rnacentral:rRNA from 1 species
CUACGGGAGGCUGCAGUGGGGAAUCUUAGACAAUGGGCGCAAGCCUGAUCUAGCCAUGCCGCGUGUGUGAUGAAGGUCUUAGGAUCGUAAAGCACUUUCGCCAGGGAUGAUAAUGACAGUACCUGGUAAAGAAACCCCGGCUAACUCCGUGCCAGCAGCCGCGGUGAUACGGAGGGGGUUAGCGUUGUUCGGAAUUACUGGGCGUAAAGCGUACGUAGGCGGAUUGGAAAGUUGGGGGUGAAAUCCCAGGGCUCAACCCUGGAACUGCCUCCAAAACUAUCAGUCUAGAGUUCGAGAGAGGUGAGUGGAAUUCCAAGUGUAGAGGUGAAAUUCGUAGAUAUUUGGAGGAACACCAGUGGCGAAGGCGGCUCACUGGCUCGAUACUGACGCUGAGGUACGAAAGUGUGGGGAGCAAACAGGAUUAGAUACCCUCGUAGUC